GGACCUAUAGUGUAGCGGUGAGCACGCGGGAUUUUGAUUCCCGAGUCCCAAGUUCGAACCUUGGUAGGUCCU
rnacentral:tRNA from 1 species